UAAUUACACCGUAAAUUUAACUGUUAAUCUAAAGGGGUACAGCCCUUUAGACUAAGGAUACAACCUUAAUUAGAGAGUAAAUAUACUAAUAACCAUAGUUGGCCUAAAAGCAGCCAUCAAUUAAGAAAGCGUUCAAGCUCAACAAUAAUUAAUUCCUUAAUCCAAUGAUUAUAUAUUAACUCCUAACUUACUACUGGACUAAUCUAUUAAUCAAUAGAAGAAAUACUGUUAAUAUGAGUAACAAGAUUUGUAUCUCCUAGCACAGGCUUAUAUCAAACCGAAUAAUAACUGAUAGUUAACGGCCAAAUAAAUAUAAUCCCACAUAAACUAUUUAUUAACCCACCGUUAAUCCAACACAGGUGUGCAUAAAGGAAAGAUUAAAAGAAAUAAAAGGAACUCGGCAAACACAAACCCCGCCUGUUUACCAAAAACAUCACCUCUAGCAUUACUAGUAUUAGAGGCACUGCCUGCCCAGUGACAACUGUUUAACGGCCGCGGUAUCCUGACCGUGCAAAGGUAGCAUAAUCAUUUGUUCUUUAAAUAAGGACUUGUAUGAAUGGCCACACGAGGGUUUAACUGUCUCUUAUUUCUAAUCAGUGAAAUUGACCUUUCCGUGAAGAGGCGGAAAUAAUCCAAUAAGACGAGAAGACCCUAUGGAGCUUUAAUUGACCUAACCCAACAGAAUAAUACUUAACUCCACCAAGGACUAACAAACAUUCUAACUGGGUUAUAAAUUUCGGUUGGGGUGACCUCGGAGCACAAAAAACCCUCCGAGAACUAUCUACUAAGACUGACAAGUCAAAGUAAAUCUUUUCAAUUGAUCCAGUCCCACUGAUCAACGGAACAAGUUACCCUAGGGAUAACAGCGCAAUCCUAUUCUAGAGUCCCUAUCGACAAUAGGGUUUACGACCUCGAUGUUGGAUCAGGACAUCCCAAUGGUGCAGCAGCUAUUAAUGGUUCGUUU
rnacentral:rRNA from 1 species